CCUACGGGGGGCUGCAGUGGGGAAUAUUGCACAAUGGGCGCAAGCCUGAUGCAGCCAUGCCGCGUGUGUGAAGAAGGCCUUCGGGUUGUAAAGCACUUUCAGCGGGGAGGAAGGCGGUGAGGUUAAUAACCUCAUCGAUUGACGUUACCCGCAGAAGAGGCACCGGCUAACUCCGUGCCAGCAGCCGCGGUAAUACGGAGGGUGCAAGCGUUAAUCGGAAUUACUGGGCGUAAAGCGCACGCAGGCGGUCUGUCAAGUCGGAUGUGAAAUCCCCGGGCUCAACCUGGGAACUGCAUUCGAAACUGGCAGGCUAGAGUCUUGUAGAGGGGGGUAGAAUUCCAGGUGUAGCGGUGAAAUGCGUAGAGAUCUGGAGGAAUACCGGUGGCGAAGGCGGCCCCCUGGACAAAGACUGACGCUCAGGUGCGAAAGCGUGGGGAGCAAACAGGAUUAGAUACCCUAGUAGUC
rnacentral:rRNA from 1 species